rnacentral:lncRNA from 1 species
AAUUUAGCAUCUCAAAUGUUGUAGAUGUAUUUCAUUCAAGCAUGAAUAUUGGAACUAAAAUUUGGUGCCAUGUGUUUUGGGAAAUUCGGCCAAAUCCUUAGGGUGACUUUUUGGGUUCAUGUUUGUCUUGUUAAAAUGGUUUUAAGGUGAUUUUUGGAACCCCUAAGUACCCUAGGAUAUUAGCCCUCUUUUGAGUGGUGAAAAAUUGAGUUUUGGUGAAUGAAAACAUCCAUGGAGCUAUUAUGAGUUUUCAUGGUGUUCUUCAAAUGUUCUUGAAGUUCUUGCCAAGAACAAAAAGGUUUGAAGUUUUGAUUCUAAAUUUUUAUGUUUUUCAUAAAGUUUUGGUAUAUAAUUGAUUUAUUAUUUGAUGGGUGAUGUUAUUGGUGAGAUGUGAUGAAAUGGUUUUAAUGUUUGUCAUAAACUUUAAGUUUUUCUUACAAACCAUCACCUUCACCUUUAACCUCACCUAAUAAAAUCAACUUGCAAAAACUUUUUAGAAAUUUUUCAAUUUUUCAUUAAAUGGCUGGCCACCCCUAGUGGGGGUCCUUUUGGGGCCUUUUGUGCAAUUAACAUAAAGUUUUGAUACUUUUGUGUUUUUGCAUUUUGGCCCAAAAGUUUACGUUUUUACGUUUAGGCUUAAAAACUCUAAAGGACAAAUUGUUUUGAUCCUUUAAUGAUGUUUUUUACAUUAUUAAAAUUUUGGGAUCUAGUUGUAAUUUACAUGAAGUUGUGGACUAUUGUGUUUAUACAAAGUGACCCCAAAAGUUUUUGUAUUUGCAUUAUGGCCCAAUUGUUGUGGUCAUAGUUUCCUUUUGGCCCAAAUAAAAUGAGAACAAAAUUGUUUUGUCUCUUUAAUGAGAAUUGGAUUUUCAUUUCAUUUAGUUCCAUUUAAAUCAAUUCUAUGGAUCCAAAAACCAAUUGUUUAAAGUUGUUUUCUUAGUUAAUAUGAUUGAUUAAGAAAAGGGUGAUUAUGAACCAAAGGCCACGAUAAUUGAGCUAUGUGAUUGGCCGAUAUACAUUAUGAAUGUUUGGGUUUAGUAGUGUAGAUUUGAAUGUAAUUUGAUUAAUUCAAUUUGUUGUAAAUGGACAUAAGUCCAUCAUUUGAUUUGUGUUGUAAAAGGGCAUAAGCCCUUACUAUUAUUAUUUCAUGUAUUCCUUUUGUUUAAUUGUAUGCAAAUGGAAUAGUUGGGUCCAACGCCCAAUAGGAAAUAACGGUUUAAUUGGAUUAAACGCGUAACUAAAAUCAACA